GGAUGUGAGGGCAAUUUGGCUGCAACCUCUGUCACCCCACUGAUGGCCAGUGUUGACUGGGCUGAUCUGGCUGGCUGGGUGGGUGUCCCCUUCCUCCCUCCCCAUUCCACGUGUGUCCCUCCUGAAGCUGCAUGCUGCUCAAAGAUGACAAACCUUCCCUGACAGAGCUGUACCAGCCAUAGGUCAAAGGGUAUACAGUAGCUGCGCUCGCCCACUAGAACCUGCAAACAAUCUCAAGGUCCAUUUGUAGGCGAAGGUAGGGCAGUGAAGCUUCCGAGACUGCAGACACAUCCAAGUGAGGCAGUGCAUGGGGUAGGAUGUUUGUUGGU
rnacentral:snRNA from 1 species